rnacentral:rRNA from 1 species
AGCAGCCGCGGUAAUUCCAGCUCCAAUAGCGUAUAUUAAAGUUGUUGCAGUUAAAAAGCUCGUAGUUGAAUUUCGGAAUCUGUCCAUCGGUCGUGCUUCACUGUUCGUACUGGUGUGGUGGGUUCUUACCUUCUGAAUAACCAGCAUGCCAUUCACUUGGUGCGCUGGGGAAGCAGGACUAUUACCUUGAAAAAAUUAGAGUGCUCAAAGCAGGCUAGUGCCUGAAUACAUUAGCAUGGAAUAAUAAAAUAGGACGGCAUGGUUCUAUUUUGUUGGUUUCUAGGAUCACCGUAAUGAGUA